UACAGAGGUCUCAAGCGUUGUUCGGAUUCAUUGGGCGUAAAGGGUGCGUAGGCGGCGCGGUAAGUCAGACGUGAAAUCCCUCGGCUCAACCGGGGAACUGCGUCUGAGACUGAUGAGCUCGAGUGCAGGAGAGGAACGCGGAAUUCCAGGUGUAGCGGUGAAAUGCGUAGAUAUCUGGAGGAACACCGGUGGCGAAGGCGGCGUUCUGGACUGCAACUGACACUGAGGAACGAAGGCCAGGGGAGCAAACGGG
rnacentral:rRNA from 1 species